rnacentral:rRNA from 1 species
UACGGGAGGCAGCAGUGGGGAAUAUUGCACAAUGGGCGCAAGCCUGAUGCAGCCAUGCCGCGUGUAUGAAGAAGGCCUUCGGGUUGUAAAGUACUUUCAGUCGUGAGGAAGGUGUUAAGGUUAAUAACCUUAGCAAUUGACGUUAGCGACAGAAGAAGCACCGGCUAACUCCGUGCCAGCAGCCGCGGUAAUACGGAGGGUGCGAGCGUUAAUCGGAAUUACUGGGCGUAAAGGGCACGCAGGCGGUUAAUUAAGUUGGAUGUGAAAUCCCCGGGCUUAACCUGGGAAUGGCAUUCAAGACUGGUUAGCUAGAGUCUUGUAGAGGGGGUAGAAUUCCAUGUGUAGCGGUGAAAUGCGUAGAGAUGUGGAGGAAUACCGGCGGCGAAGGCGGCCCCUGGACAAAGGCUGACGCUCAUGUGCGAAAGCGUGGGGAGCAAAC